rnacentral:rRNA from 1 species
UGGGGAAUUUUGGACAAUGGGGGCAACCCUGAUCCAGCAAUGCCGCGUGAGUGAAGAAGGCCUUCGGGUUGUAAAGCUCUUUUGUCAGGGAAGAAACGGUAGUAGCGAAUAACUAUUACUAAUGACGGUACCUGAAGAAUAAGCACCGGCUAACUACGUGCCAGCAGCCGCGGUAAUACGUAGGGUGCAAGCGUUAAUCGGAAUUACUGGGCGUAAAGCGUGCGCAGGCGGUUGUGUAAGUCAGAUGUGAAAUCCCCGGGCUCAACCUGGGAAUUGCAUUUGAGACUGCACGGCUAGAGUGUGUCAGAGGGGGGUAGAAUUCCACGUGUAGCAGUGAAAUGCGUAGAUAUGUGGAGGAAUACCGAUGGCGAAGGCAGCCCCCUGGGACAACACUGACGCUCAUGCACGAAAGCGUGGGGAGCAAACAGGAUUAGAUACCCAAGUAGUCCCUGAGCGGGCUGGCAAGGCGCAU